AGAAAUUCAAGAUUUUCAACACAAAUAACCUUUGGGUUAACUUGAAAGCAAUCAAAAAGCUUGUGGAAGCUGAUGCACUUAAAAUGGAGAUCAUCCCAAACCC